rnacentral:rRNA from 1 species
GUGAACGCUGGCGGUAGGCCUAACACAUGCAAGUCGAACGGCAGCACAGUAAGCGCUUGCUCUUACGGGUGGCGAGUGGCGGACGGGUGAGGAAUACAUCGGAAUCUACUUUUUCGUGGGGGAUAACGUAGGGAAACUUACGCUAAUACCGCAUACGACCUACGGGUGAAAGCAGGGGAUCUUCGGACCUUGCGCGAUUGAAUGAGCCGAUGUCGGAUUAGCUAGUUGGCGGGGUAAAGGCCCACCAAGGCGACGAUCCGUAGCUGGUCUGAGAGGAUGAUCAGCCACACUGGAACUGAGACAAGGUCCAGACUCCUACGGGAGGCAGCAGUGGGGAAUAUUGGACAAUGGGCGCAAGCCUGAUCCAGCCAUACCGCGUGGGUGAAGAAGGCCUUCGGGUUGUAAAGCCCUUUUGUUGGGAAAGAAAAGCAGCAGGUUAAUACCCCGCUGUUCUGACGGUACCCAAAGAAUAAGCACCGGCUAACUUCGUG